GACGAACGCUGGCGGCGUGCUUAACACAUGCAAGUCGAACGGAAAGGCUCCAGCUUGCUGGAGUACUCGAGUGGCGAACGGGUGAGUAACACGUGGGUAAUCUGCCCUGCACUCUGGGAUAAGCCUGGGAAACUGGGUCUAAUACUGGAUAUGACCUUUCUCCUUAUGGGGUUUGGUGGAAAGUUUUUCGGUGUAGGAUGAGCCCGCGGCCUAUCAGCUUGUUGGUGGGGUGAUGGCCUACCAAGGCGACGACGGGUAGCCGGCCUGAGAGGGUGAUCGGGCACAUUGGGACUGAGAUACGGCCCAGACUCCGACGGGAGGCAGCAGUGGGGAAUAUUGCACAAUGGGCGGAAGCCUGAUGCAGCGACGCCGCGUGAGGGAUGACGGCCUUCGGGUUGUAAACCUCUUUCAGCAGGGACGAAGCGUAAGUGACGGUACCUGCAGAAGAAGCACCGGCUAACUACGUGCCAGCCGCCGCAGUAA
rnacentral:rRNA from 1 species